rnacentral:tRNA from 1 species
AGCUCGGUAGCGCAAUGGUAGCGCGUCUCUGUCCACUUGCAACGGGAAGAUCUCGGUUCGAUUCCGAGUCGAGCUA